rnacentral:piRNA from 2 species
UCACUCAGUAAGUGCUAGCU